UUAGAAUGCAGUCGCACGGGAUCAGAUAUGUAGUAAUACUUAUUUGGUUUAGUGGCGCACGGGUGAGUAACACGUGAAUUACAUGCCCUAUAGUGGGGAAUAGCCCAGGGAAACUUGGAUUAAUACCCCAUAGUCUCGCAAGAGUAAAGGUGGCCGCAAGGCUGUCGCUAUAGGAUUGGUUCGCGCCCUAUCAGCUUGUUGGUGAGGUAACGGCUCACCAAGGCAAUGACGGGUACCUGGUCUGAGAGGACGAUCAGGCACACUGGAACUGAGACACGGUCCAGACACCUACGGGUGGCAGCAGUCGAGAAUAAUUCACAAUGGGGGCAACCCUGAUGGUGCAACGCCGCGUGGAGGAUGACGGUCUUCGGAUUGUAAACUCCUGUCAUCUGGGAGAAAGACCUGACGGUAAAUAGCCGGCAGGGUUGAUAGUACCAGAAGAGGAAGGGACGGCUAACUUCGUGCCAGCAGCCGCGGUAAUACGAAGGUCCCGAGCGUUGUUCGGAAUCACUGGGCGUAAAGGGAGCGUAGGCGGUUUGGUAAGUCAGAUGUGAAAUCCCGGGGCUCAACCCCGGAACUGCAUCCGAUACUGCCAGACUUGAGUAAUGGAGAGGUAGCUGGAAUUAUCGGUGUAGCAGUGAAAUGCGUAGAUAUCGAUAGGAACACUCGUGGCGAAAGCGAGCUACUGGACAUUUACUGACGCUGAGGCUCGAAGGCUAGGGAGCGAAAGGGAUUAGAUACCCCUGUAGUCCUAGCAGUAAACGGUGCACGCUUGUGUGAGGGAAAUCGACCCCCCCUUUGUGCCGGAGCUACGCGUUAGCGUGCGCUGGGAGUACGUCGCAGACUAAC
rnacentral:rRNA from 1 species